rnacentral:rRNA from 1 species
UACGUAGGCAGCAAGCGUUGUUCGGAGUUACUGGGCGUAAAGAGUGCGUAGGUGGUGCCCUAAGUCUGUUGUGAAAUCUCCCGGCUUAACUGGGAGGGUGCGGUGGAAACUGGGGUGCUUGAGUGUGGGAGAGGUAAGCGGAAUUCCUGGUGUAGCGGUGAAAUGCGUAGAUAUCAGGAGGAACACCGGUGGUGUAGACGGCUUACUGGACCACGACUGACGCUGAGACGCGAAAGCGUGGGGAGCAAACAAG